GCGAGGGUGAAUGAGGCACUCGGUCGGGUUCAUCCCCCGGAGCUUGCAGGUUCGACUCCUGCCCCUCGCCCCA
rnacentral:tRNA from 1 species